rnacentral:rRNA from 1 species
GACGAACGCUGGCGGCGUGCUUAACACAUGCAAGUCGAACGGAAAGGCCCUGCUUUUGUGGGGUGCUCGAGUGGCGAACGGGUGAGUAACACGUGAGUAACCUGCCCUUGACUUUGGGAUAACUUCAGGAAACUGGGGCUAAUACCGGAUAGGAGCUCCUGCUGCAUGGUGGGGUUGGGAGUUUAGGCGGUUGGGGGUGGGUACGCGGCUUAUGCGCUUGUUUGGGGGGGAGUGGCUUACCAAGGCCUUGACGGGUAUGGGGCCUGAGAGGGUGAACGGCCACAAUGGGACUGAGAUACGGCCCAGACUCCUACGGGAGGCAGCAGUGGGGAAUAUUGCACAAUGGGCGGAAGCCUGAUGCAGCAACGCCGCGUGCGGGAUGACGGCCUUCGGGUUGUAAACCGCUUUCGCCUGUGACGAAGCGUGAGUGACGGUAAUGGGUAAAGAAGCACCGGCUAACUACGUG